GCCUCCUAGAAAAUGUUUACAAGCUUCAAAGAAGACGUGCUUGCAUGGGACAGCACGAGAAACAUCCCCAGGUUUUCUAUCUGGGGAGGGACAUGGCAGAAGCAGUAUUUUGGGAAGAUAUUUCUGGCAGCAGUAUGUACAGUCUAGACUGAAGAGGAGAAGGUGAAGCCAGGGAAGACUAACAACGAGUCCAGAGAUGGAGAGGAACAAACCUGACUGGGGUGGUGGCACAAAGGAGAGCAUGUCCUGUUCAUCCUUCCCUCCACAAAGCAGCUGGACAAGACCCAACCAGUGAUGGGAUCUCUGUAGCAUCAUUUUCCAAAGGAAGCUGGCACAUGACAAGUGCUGCCUCCAUUUCAAAAUCCAUUCAUGUACCGACAUUCGCCUACCCUCUCGGCCUUGAUCCCACUCUCCUGAGGUGCCUGAGGGAUCUUGCCACUGUGCGCAUGGCACUAAGGAACUCUGCCUGCCAGUCCCAGAACUGCUCUUGUCUCACUCUGUUACCUUAUGCAAAUGGCAGGCAUGGGAAGCCUGCUGCUCCAUCUGGGAAAUCCUCUGGACCACCCAACCUUCCUCUCGGAGAAAGUAAAGGGAGCAAUAAGGAAAUAUUUGCCAAGCCCUGUACAGCCACCUGUUUGCAGAGAGAGGGAGAGUUGCCAUAUUAAUUAUUAAGCAGACCUAUCUGAGCCAAAGAGAGUCAUGGAAACUUCAUUAUUAUGGGUGGUAUGUGGCUGUCUUUGGAAUAUUCUGCUUGCUUGGUUUCUAAUUUCCUUUUCUUACAUGAGUCUUUCUCCCUCAUAAAUCUUUGCAUCUCAAUGUUCUGUUCUCUCCUCCCUUGUGUUCUGAACUAGGAGUUCCCACAAACCCUCUGUGGUUAAAUCUACUCCUCUAAACACCACAGGCUCCAGGCAGCAUUGUUCAUGAAAGCGGGUGACACCCUUUGGCCUCCGCCCUCUAGAAGGGCCUGCUGAGUGAAGGCCCAGUCAGGGAGGGGAGGGAUGGAGGGGUGUUGAGGAGAUUGAGGUGGGCAGGGAGUCCCCCCACCUCUCCCAGCUGCCCAAGGAAACACUCUCCAACUGUUUCUCUAGAACAAACCAACCAACAAGCGCCAGGAGCCUUCCGUGAAUCUGACAGCCGGCUGAUCACAGAAUCCUCCCAGCAAUGGCACUUAGCCCAUAACUGGCAGCAAGUGCCCUCUAGAGGGAGUCAGAGGCAUCCUCUCUGAGAGGCAAAUUCUAAUGUCCUGCCUGAAUUGGGUACUUAGAGGGGCUUAGCAAAUGAUGCCAAUUGGGGGGAAAAAAAGGAAAGAAAAGAGAAGCGGGGCAACUGGUGUCUUCAUCACUAAAAGACAGAGAGAAGCCUUCCUUUGGUAUCAAGAGGAGUCUAACAGACUGUGCCAUUCAAAUUAGGCUACAUUUCUGUGGCAGAAGCAGUGCACAUGGCAGAACUAGCGGUGGGGUAUGAGUGUGGUGGGCUCCACGGGCUCACUCUGAGAAUCUGUCUCUAGCACACAAGGUGCCAGGCCUUAAUUUGGUCUCCCUGUUGCUCCUGCUUCUGAAAUGUGUUGAAGCAGAUACAGCUGUUUAAACUGGCAUCCCUGUUUAUCUGUGUGUUCCCAGUGUCUAGUAUUUAAACACCUGAACUGAAUUUAAAUUGCCAUCAGCUUGUUAACUGCAAAAUAAUAGAACGAUUUCAAGAAGAUGGUGGUAGGGGCUGUAUUUCGACCACUCUGCUUUCUCAUACAGACACCUCGCUCCCCAGGCCUUCUGCCAGAUAUCAAAAGUAGAGGGUAUGUGCUGGGCCUGGUUUUUUUAUGCCCUGAGGAUCAACAUAGUGUAGUGAGAAAAUCCUGGCUUUUGGAGUCAGCCCCGACUGGAUUUCAAUAUGAGCCCCUCACUUACUAGUUGUGGGAAUGGUAGACGUUUUUAAACUUUCUGCACAUCAGUUUGCCCAUCUUUAAAAUGAAAGUAUUAGUACUUAUCUCAG
rnacentral:lncRNA from 10 species